GGUAUUCAGGUCAAGAAGAUAACAGAUCUCCUGCUAGAACUCGGUUUGAAAGCUGAACUCUUCUGAGGAGCUUCUGAGAACUGGAUGUCCUCGAGGCUGAAGAUGCUCUUCUUCCCAGUUUGGUAAAUCCAGGGAAAGGGGGAGCAGCAGGCAAGCUGGCUGGGGAGUGACUGAAGCCUGCAGACACCGGGAGCCAGCGAGGGUCAGAAGAGAGCUGAGAAACUCCGUGUUCUGGUUCUACCUGGAGACUAUUGCCUGACCAGGAGGAAAAAGGGAAAUUUAGGAAUUCCAGAGAAGCCAAGUGAAUUCAACUAUAAUUGGUAACUGAAUUUUGAAAGAGAGAGAAGCCCGAACUCAAGCGACUUCACCUCGAUAGGACAGGUGUCUGCCCUCCAUUAAUUGAAUGACCUCCAAGUACCCUUCAGCUUUCCAGGUCUAAGAAUUUUUUUCAGUGAAUGCCAAAAUCUGAAGUUAUCAAAAAGGAAGAAAGAAAAAAGCCCAUAGGCUUGAGAAAGCAUUUUAAGACAUCCGUGUGUUUCCUCUCAUAUACAGUAUUACAGUGAGUUCUGAAAUUUGCGGGCUGCGCAGGUGCUACGAUAUGACCACAGGGUGUCAGCAGCACACCACGAGCUUUAUGUGGGGGAGCUUUGCGAAGUUGCCAUGAGUGGGGUCUGGAGAAAGGUGAAGGUCAAGUCCUUCCAACCAGAGGACCUUCGAGAGACAAUGGCGUGGGAUCACCGCCAUGAAGUUCCUGCUUCCUGGGAACAGGGAAACUCCUGGGGGAGGGAGGAAUCAGAGAGGGGAGGUUAACCUCUCAAAAAGAGCACACGUCAGUGCAAACAGCUUUAGGACUCAUUGCUGCUAUAAAGAAAAGGAAUUUUCUCCAAUGCACAGUAUAUAAAUUCUUUGGGUCAAAUGGUUCCGAGAGUAAUCAAAAAGGCAUAACAAAUCUACAAGGUUUGGAUUUUUUACUUAUUUCUGUCUUUAGCAUGACAAACUGUUUUUCUAAAAAUCUAAGUUGAGAAUGAGAACUGUCAUUUGUGUGACCACUGCUGGCAUUAUUAAUUUAUAGAUUAGCAAUAAAAGGAUCGAGGUAACAUAAAACAGAUUUUACAAAUUUCUGUGAUUUACUGGCAGAAGGAUCUAAUUAACAAAAAUAUCAAUAAGCAGACAAUGUUAGUAAGUGGCUGCUGGAGUCAAUUGGACUCCUGUGUGGUGUUCAUUGAGACCAUCAAAGACACAGGCAGCUGAUGUGGAAAUACCAUAACAUUUUCAAUUAGAGAUUGAGAUAAUUGGAGAUAAAUGUAAAACACAGGAAAUCUAUUUCAUGGAAUCAACUGUGUCAUAGAACUGAUGGCAUAAUGAUUGAUUUGCACAGAAAAACUGGUAUAAACAGGACUAUUAAAAGACACAAUCAAUAAGCGACAGCUAACUUUAAUGAUACAAUCACCUCAUAUCAACUUGUAUCUGAUGAAUUUUAGACCUGUGAAAGGUCACGUGAAAUCCAGCUUCUUGACGUCCUCUAGUAAUAGACUGAUUUUCAGUAAAGGUCUGGCAACUCAAAACGUUUCCAAUUACUUAAACCACAAGGGCCCCAUCAUCCUGCAGAAACUUGUUUGUCUCUUGGUAGAGAAUCUGCAGGAGGCAACUACCAGAGGCCUCAACCCUGCAGUCACAGUGACCUCAUUUUAGGAGUACACCUCCCAGGCAAGCACAUUACUUAGGGACUGACAGGUGGUCACUGAAGUCGCUAGAACCUUCUUCUUGCUCAAGUUCCUGGGAGGUUGACUCCAAUGAGACAGUUGUUGUGGACUCUCUCCCAGAGCCAGGAAAAUCUUGAGGGAUAUUUUGGACAUCACAGUUGAUUGCUCUCCCUUGAAGAUAUUGGAUAAACACAGCUGAAGAUUCUUGAUUUGGGGGCUCCCUCUUUCUGGGAUAUAUGUAGACUGUACCAUCUGUCCUGUCAAUUUUUUUUUUUUUUUUACUCUAACCAUCUUUGUGAUCGGAUCUGGAUACUGCUUCCAAAUCUCCGCAGUAUGUGUUAUUCCUUUUGUCUAAGCUCCAACUGCUCCCUGUUUGUUCCCCGUGGUGAAAGAAUCCCUAACGAUGCUGCACCUGAACUGCUUGUCUUCUCUUUGUCUGGCACAAAUAGCUCCUUGAGGAAAAGGAUUCUUUUAAAUUAUUGUCCCAUACCCAGCUACUGCCUGGUAUAAGGUUGAUGCUCAAAAAAUAUUUGUUAAGUCAGUGAAUGAAUAGUAGACUUUUGCUACUUUCAUAUAUGUACUUUACUUUCAUUUACAGAAAGUGACUUUUCAUUUACAGAAAGGGAUCCACUUUACACUACCUGAGGAUGUACGCUUCCCAAGAAUUUUUGGCUGCUUCUCAAACUGGGUUUCCUAGAUCUUUUGGUCAUCUCCCCUGGAGCUAUGGGCUAACAUGUCACAGAUCACCUACCAUCCCCAAACACCUAUCCCUCAUCUUACCAUUGAGCUAUGUUGUGAAAUUAAAUGUAUACCUGAGAAUGGCAGAGGCAUGUCCAUAAACAUGCAAAAUAUAUCCCUAAGCAGACCUCUGUCUUUAAAGAAAAUUGGAUCUUCCACCUUUUUAUCUCCUUUUCAGCCCUGUGCUGAAAAUCAACUUGACUUCAUACAAAUUAAUGAAAACUGAAGUGUUUGGACAGGAGGUUAAUUGCUAGCUACAAUGAGCAAAUGUAAUAGAUAUAAUGACAGCUUGUGAAAUGCCAGGUAAUUGCUGGCAAACAGAAAAGACUGUCUUUGUCAUUUGGAGGGGGGAAGGAGUCAAUUUUAAUAGGACUAUUGGGUUUUACAAAACCCCUAGUAAAGAAUUCAGCCAACAUCCAUAUAGCAAUUAACCUAGCAUCAGGAUUCUUUGACACCUGGAUUAUUUGAGCACAGACUAUUAGGCAGGAAGUGCUGACAGUGAUUUUUUAAGUUAAGAAAGUGUUAUAUA